GAAUUGUGCCCUCGGUAUAUCCCAUUGUUAAAUGAUGGAUGAUCUGCAAAUAAUCUGAACUGAUUCUAAGCCAUCUUUUUCAGAACAUGAGCUGAUUAACCCCUAGUUUUCUAAUGACUUGUUUUCUUCACAUGUCCUCAUGAUGCUCUACCAUUACUGGAUCCAUGAAGCUGAAGUCACAUUUCAAAUGAUACAAAAUAUGUUACAGAGCAUCAGAUACCGAAUAUCUUUUCACUCGUCUAAAUACUAUUUUACUUGUAGUAUAUGUAUCUAAAGAUCCCAUUGAAAAGAAAAACGUGGGUUUGCUUAAUCAUCAUAAAAAAGGUGGGAUCAAGAAAUGACAUUUCUAUACUCCUGGACAUCCUCUCUGCAACUUCUAUGAUUAAGGAACAAACCCAAGAUGAGCUCAGGUGUCCCAGAUCAUCACAACAGCGAUUACCCCGACACCCAACAACACUGCUAAGAACUUGUAGUUGGGGGUGUCAAAGGGAACUGUCCUCUGGCAAGUGUAUCCCUUGGACAGUAGAUGGUUUAUUGAGACAUAGAUGAAGAUCCCACAUGCUAGCCCCAUUGAUAUGGCGUAUAUCCAGUCAGCCACAGCGCCCUGGGUAGUGGCAUCUAUGACGAUACCAAUGGCCACUCCAACUGGGCUAGAAAUGGCAAAUGCAAAGGCAUAGGCUACACAGGAGAGGAGGGGUCUGUCUGGAAUCAUCCGAAGGAGAGCUAUUCCCAUUGCAAUGGCUGCAAAUAUCUUGUGGAGACAGACCGUCCAUAGAGCUCUCCAAGCGUCAGCUUCGGUCUCUGCAACUCCAAUUGCAAUGCCCUCAAAUACAGAGUGGAAACACAGUGCAAAGAUGAGUAAUAUGUUGUCCCCAAGCGAUGUGGCGGUUCUCAGAGGGGCGUUUACAGAGUGGACCUCUGUGCAAUUCUGAUCCUGUUAAGGGAUAAUAAGUAUUCAUUUAGCUGUCUCAGGCAUUUUAAAACGUUUUUCCUUGUAUUUUCUGAGUGAUAAGAGGAUCAUGGUUUCCUUAUCAUCUUACCUGAGCCAGAGACUCUGAAUUUCCGCCAUUGCUACUGCUUUUUCCUUGCAUAUUUUCUGUAACAAAGGGAAAAUGAAUGAAAGUGAAUCAUAAUACCAUUGUGAAAGAGAGGAGUUCAAAUCCAAGUGAGAGUAGGAUUUUGUCUAAAAAACCCAUCCAAAUACAUUAAAAUGAAAAUUGAAUCGACUUCUCGAUCUCUUAUCAUAUGGCCAAGUGGACUUCUGAGAUUACCAUCUUAUAAAACCUCAACAGUCAACACAUCAUGUUGCGUAAAGAUUUGAAAUUCUAUUCUUUUCUAUCCACCAUCCAUCCAGGAUCCACAAGGUCCAACCGACUUAUUUUGAACUGAAAAAAGGGUCAAUUUUCAACAACAAACAAAAGGGAAAAAUAAAUUCUUCAAAGAAGGAAAAAAAAAAUUCUGAUAAUCUCCAUGUCAGUAACUACUCAACUUAAUCAACUCUGCCUCAGGUUUUUUCCAAAGCACCAACUAAAUUCCAGAAAGAAAGAAAAUUAACAAAAGAAAGCCCAGCAAAAAUUUCAUAACUUUCUUUUCUUUUUCUUCUGGCUUCACGGCAAUCAAAGUCAUAUCUAAAGAAGCUUCGCCCAAAAGGGUGAGCUUUUCAUAGCUUUCCUCCGUUUCUUCAGCUGAGAAACAGAGUAAGGAUUUAAAUAUCGAAGUUGAAAACGCUCACUAAACUCAUUUGCAAUUUCCCUGCUUUAAGCUUUCUCUUCUUCUACUCUAUUUUCUCGGCAGUCAAACGGAGUAACAAUCAAGGCUAUCAAGCACCAGAAAAGAAAAAGAAAAAAAUAAAAUAAAUUCAAAUCACCAAAUCAGUACUGUCUACACUAAAUUGAGUUUCUUAUCUCUUACUUUCCUUAUCUUCUACGGGAAGAUAAAAUAAUAAAAUAAAAAAUAAAAAAUAAAAAAUUAAUAAAAAAAUUCAAAGGCUCAAAGAACCAACCUUGAAGCUCGACAUCUCCAUCGCCACCAUUCGCCCCCUUUCCAUACACAUAGGAAACCAAACAAUCGGCGAACAUCGUCAUCAAAUACCCCGCACACGCCAGCAUGAACGCGAACGGAUACUCCACGCUCGUCAAAUCCCCAAACGUCUCAUUCGAGUCGCUCAGAAAAUGCAUCAUCGCCGUCCCUAGAAACACUCCGCCGGCGAACUGCGUUCCCAGCACUAGAAACGUCUCGUUCCACUUCAAGAAGUAAGGCGACACGCCGCCGAUGAACGUCCCGACAAACACCAGAAUCAGACAGUAGAUCUUCACCAGAAUCAGUGGUUUCGCCCUCAAGUCAACGCUGUCCGACGACGGCGCGUCACCAUCAUCAUCAUCGGCAUGAUCGCCGCCAUGGGCUGCGGCGACGGCUGCGAGGACGAGGAGGAGAAGAGAGAGGGAGAGGAGAGAGCGAGACAUAGAAAACGGUGGGAUGAAGAAGGAAACAUUUGAGUAAUUAUGUAGGGUUUCAAUAUUCCUAUAUAUCUAUAUUAGAGGGUUGAUUGUUCACCACAGACACAAAUGUGAAUGAGCGAGUACUGCACCAAGAAGUCAUGAAUGUGAGAGACAUACAGCUACGAACUACGAUAAUGAUAAUGACUGAUCAUUUACAGCGCUUGUUUCGCAACCAAGCUUCCUUACUGCUUUGUGGGACUCUUCUUGGGGUCUUUCAAUGAAAAGGAUUUAAUGUUUUUUGUUUUUUUUUUUUAAUAAAAAUGUUUAAAAAUUUAAAAUAUUUUUAAUCUAUUCUUAAUAUUUUAAAAUAUGUUGUAAAAAUAAUUUUUAUAUUUAUUUUUAAUUAUUUUGUAUAAUUAUUUCUUAAAAUAACUUUUAAAAAACAAUAUAAGACAAUUAAAUGAUAUUAUUUGAAAAUAUCCUUUUUUUUUUUUUGUUCUUAAUAAUAAAAAAAUAUGUUAUCAAACAUGUAAUUUUGCAUUUUUUUAGAAUAAAAAAUUAUUCUAAAAACAGUUACCAAACAAAUCCUAAGAUUUGAAAAAGAAUAAUUUAUUUUUAUUUAAAAUAGUUUUAUUGUCUUUUUAAGACAAUUUAAAUAAGUAAAAUUGUUAAAUAUUUUAACAUACCAUUCUAAAUUAUUUUUCUUAAAAUUGAAAGUAUUGUAACUAUUUUUCUUAGACUUGGAAGUAAAUUAUUUCAAAAUUUAUGAUAAAACGUAUUAUUGGGUGAUUUAAAUAGUUUUAUUGUCCUUUUUUCUGCAUUUUAAAUAUAAGUAUGGUUGUCCAUUAUUUUAUGUAUUAGGUGGUAUGUUGAAUUUAAAGAUGAUUCUAAAUUUUUCUUAGACUUGAAUGUAUUGUAGAGUAUUUUUUUCUUCGGUCAUCAAAGUGAAUAUGUCGAAAUUAUAUAAUAAAAUUUGAAUCAUUGGAUUAUUUAAAUAGUUGUAUCGUCUUUUUUGAAUAUUUUAAAUAUGUACGAUUGUGUUUUUCUUCGUACAUUGAAUUUUAAAAUGACCGUAAACUAUUUUUCUCACCUUGAAAAGGAAUAUGUUCAAAAUAUAUGAUAAAAUCUAAAUCACUAAAUGAAAAUACAAAUUAUAAAAUCAAGAUAAAACAACAUUAGUGCCUAGAGAUCUCCAUCCUAGCCUUUACGUUUGAGAUCUCCACCAUCAUUGCCUAAAGACAAGAAAAAGUCAUCGGAUGAGAUAUGAUGAUGUUUACAAGAUCAUUUAUGACUUUGGAGUUAUCUACAUCGAGUGAAAUUGAUUUGGGAACAUCCCGAUCAAAGGUAUGUGAUUUUAAUUCUCUAUAUCUAUGUUUUUGUGGUAUCCUUAUUAUUUUUUAAUAUCUGUUUAUCUGCUACGAUAGAUUUAAAGAGCUUAAAAUAGAUUUACAUGAUUGAAGUCAUAGGAACAGGGUAAUCUAAGGUUCUUAACAAGAAGACCUCACCCAUCACCUUGGCCAAUUGAGUGGACAAAUUCUUUACAUGAUCCUUCAAGUCCUGGGGGUCAAGGCGGGACGACGUAAGGUGAUCAGUGGAUUGGUAAGUACCCGAUAAUGCUUUUUGCAUAAUAUCAGUAACAACAAAAUCUCCGAAAGUAGCUUGCUAAUUUUUAUGGAAUGUAAAAAGGAAAAGAUCUCUCGUAUAUAAAAUUUCCAAUACUAAAAUGUACUUUUCUCGCGGGCUGUGCUGCUGGGGACUUGGCUGGGCCCAUUAUUGUAUCAAUUUGCUUUGAAAAGGUUCUUCAUGCAUACCUUUAGAAGAGCACAUGGGAUAAGCUAUCUGAUGGAUUCUUGGCACCUGCUUCGAAUUUGUUUACUACCCGAAUUUUUAAAGGAUCUGCCGCUUACAUUUAUGCAUAAACCAUAAUUGAUCACAAAUCACUUAAAUCUGGUGUUAGGCCAAAAUCGACCCAGCUACCCAUUCACCAAAUUUUCCUUCCUGGGAGACUACCAUUCCCUUAGGUCACGAUUGUCAUGGUCUCCAAGAAUAAUCAGAACUGGUAUUAAUUGAUUUAAUUGCAAUCGAUUGAUAUGUUUUGCUGGUAGCGUAAGUUUCAUAGGACUGCAUUUCCUUAUACAGAAGAUGUAUGAUCUGAACUGGCCAUUGAGUUGUGCCAAAGGUACAUCCCAUUGUUAAAUAAUGGAUUCGGCAAAUAGUUUGAACUAAUUCUAAGCCAUCGCUUGUCCACAUGAUGCUCUACCAUCACUGGAUCCAUGAAGAUGAAGUCACAUUUCACAUAAUACAAAAUAUGUUACAGAGCAUUGCGGAGCCGGUAUCAGAAUAUUUUGCCCUCCAUUUUCUCAUCAGAUACCCAAUAUCAUUUCACUUGUCUAAAUACUAUUUUACUUAUGGUAUAUGCGUCUAGAGAUCCCAUUGAAAAGAAAAAAGUGGGUUUGUUUAAUAAUCAUAAACGAGGUGGGAUCAAGAAGUAAUAUUUCUAAGCUCCUUCCUCUGUACUCUUGGCUAUCCUCCCUGCAGCUUCUAUGAUUGAAGGAAAACAUUUCAAGAUGAGCUCAGGUGUCCCAGAUCAUCACAACCGCGAUUACCCCGAUGCCCAACAACACUGCUAAGAACUUGUAGUUGGGGGUGUCAAAGGGAACUGUUCUCUGGCAAGUGUAUCCCUUGGACAAUAGAUGGUUUAUUGAGACAUAUAUGAAGAUCC
rnacentral:lncRNA from 1 species